ACAUGCUAAUAGCUGGAAGUAACUCCAACAACUUCAUCUAGGUACUUCUCAACUCCUUACCCACUUCCAAAACUUGAUAUGGUUGCUGUCCCUGAAUUUUCUGAUGCGGCUAUGGAGAAUUGUGGUUUGAUAACAUCCCUGAAAAUGUGCUACUUUACUAUGAUUUGCUUUCUUCAGCAGACAGGAAGCAGUUUCUCACAUUUGCUGUAUCACAUGAAGUAGCCCAUCAAUGGUUUGGCAAUCUAGUAACAAUGGAAUGGUGGAAUCAUUUAUGGCUUAAUGAAGGAGUUGCAACAUGGAUAAGUAUGGCCACUGACAUCAUGUUUCCUGAGUGGAAAAUAUGGACUCAAUUUCUUCUAAAGACAAAUAAUGGCCUGCGCGUAUGGAUGCAUUGGAACAAUCGCAUCUUAUUGAGGUAAGGAAGUGAAUGCUUGUGUUACAAGUUGCAAAUAGCACAUCACUUAUGCAUGUUAUAUUAUUCAUCUUGUUAGUGAUUCAAGUGAUAAAAUCAACAAUCUUUUUAAUUGGCAAACUACUUCCUAAAAUGGCAUGUUUUUCGGGAUUUCAAGGACCGCAAUGAACAUCAUCAAAGUAAAUGUAUUGACACAAAGUCAACUUAGUGUGUGUGUGUGUGUGUUCACAUGCAUGUGCAUCUGUUAUCAGAGUGUGUGGAGCACUGCAUAGUAGGAGGGUGGUGACAGUGCAGGGAAAGAUCCCAUAAUCCAACUCCAAAGAUUGAACACUGGCCAUCACAUGAUAUUUGGCAUA